GAGUUUGAUCAUGGCUCAGAAUGAACGCUGGCGGCAGGCCUAACACAUGCAAGUCGAACGGAGUUAUAUUGUAGCUUGCUAUGGUAUAACUUAGUGGCAGACGGGUGAGUAAUGUAUAGGAAUCUACCUAGUAGUACGGAAUAAUUGUUGGAAACGGCAACUAAUACCGUAUACGCCCUACGGGGGAAAAAUUUAUUGCUAUUAGAUGAGCCUAUAUUAGAUUAGUUAGUUGGUGAGGUAAAGGCUUACCAAGACAAUGAUCUAUAGCUGAUCUGAGAGGAUGAUCAGCCACACUGGAACUGAGAUACGGUCCAGACUCCUACGGGAGGCAGCAGUGGGGAAUAUUGGACAAUGGGCGAAAGCCUGAUCCAGCCAUGCCGCAUGAGUGAAGAAGGCCUUCGGGUUGUAAAGCUCUUUUAGUGAGGAAGAUAAUGACGGUACUCACAGAAGAAGUCCUGGCUAACUCCGUGCCAGCAGCCGCGGUAAUACGGAGAGGGCUAGCGUUAUUCGGAAUCAUUGGGCGUAAAGGGCGCGUAGGCGGGUUAGUAAGUUAAAAGUGAAAUCCCAAGGCUCAACCUUGGAACUGCUUUUAAAACUGCUAGUCUAGAGAUUGAAAGAGGAUAGAGGAAUUCCUAGUGUAGAGAUGAAAUUCGUAAAUAUUAGGAGGAACACCAGUGGCGAAG
rnacentral:rRNA from 2 species